CUAAUUCCCAACUUUGUUAUAACAUUGUGGUGCAAUUUUUUUUUUUUGCAUCCAGUUACAUGGAAGCUCCGUUUUGUGGUGCCAGUUUGGGACACUCAUUUCUAGGACUUAGUUCUACCCAGAAACCACCGGACAAAGGCAGGGAUGUUGCUCAGGGACAGCCUUACAGUGAGAUAUGUUGUAAGACAGGCUUUUCUUUCCCGCUGGCUCCAGCUUUGCGGCUCUGAGCUGCUGCCCUCUGCAGAGCGCGCUGCAGGAAGCGGGGCUCCAGGGACACCGCCGCACGUGACGAGCCCACGUCCGCCUCUGCCAGGAAGGAGCCCACAGCCCUGCUCAGCACAUGAAGACAAACCCUUCUUGGUUAUUGCAUAGCUGCACCAGCUCUCAGCCACCAGCAAAAGGCUUUGGAACUAUAUCAAUGUUAUUUUAUAGCUCUACCCAUGAGGACAUCACCACAAUGGGUAUCCAGUGUCCUCCUACAUCGUCAGGAAUCUUCAGCAUUGGAGAGAAAAGUCUUCCCCCUCUUACUGCUGAGCUGUUCCUCUUGAUACAUUUUGAUGUCCCCCGGUCAAUCUGUGCCCCAUACCAUGUAUACAUGUCCUAUUGUUCCCUACACUGCAAUGCUCUCCUGUUUUUCCCAAAUGUUGUUACAUUUCCGUUCUCAUUCUUGUGUUUUUCAUCUCUUUCCCAUUUGUAUAAUGCAUCUACUGUCUCUGUUGUUUUCCACUUCUAAUUUAAUACCACUGGUGAAUUUGUCUCUCUAUGCAGAUCAUUAAAAACAGGCUAUGUGGGACUGCUUGUAAAAGAAAACACUGCAUUCCCAAGAUAGGUUACACACUAGUGUGUAUCAAUACUCUUUGUUUUGGAACUUUUAGCUUUGUUUAGUACUUAGAUGCAGAGUGAUCUCUGGAUCCCUUGUUUGCUACUUUAGUGUGAGAAUAGAAGGAACACAAAUUCAAAAGUUGCAGGACUAGAAAGGACCUGUGCAGCCCUAGGGAAAGGGCAGUUUGCCAUGUAAGCAAAGCAAAAAACCAAAUUAACAAAAUCUGAGCCCAGCCACAAAACCAGUCCGUCCCCAGCCUGUGGGCAGCUGGGGGAAGUCCUUUCCUCCUUCCCACCCUCUCUACAAUCUGUUUCAACUCACCAUUGUGCUCAGUGGCUGUAGAGCUGGCAGAAAUGGAUGUGUGCCUGAAAUACCACCAAGAGUGAAAGGCCAAGCUGGCACACCUGUGAUGUAAGGGGAGAGGAGUUCUGCUUCUGUGAGAAGCCAGGAGUCAUGUGAUUGCCUUAAUCCAGCCCUGAUCUCUGUGGCUGGUUCAGACAAAAGGAGCAUUUGUGUGCUGAGGUGGGUGGCCGAGUUGGAUGAGGGAACAGAUCCAACUGCAAGCUCCACACUGCCUCAUCAGGCCAACCUGAAUACCAGUAUUGACACAAAGGAGGGAGUUGCUGGGGCAGGAAGGGAAGAUGGGUUGACACAGACUGAGCAAUGUCACCACAGGGUCAGUGAAGAGUGAGGCUCUUGGUGCAUGAGUCUCUUCCUGGUGCCUGGUUUUAGGAUGUAGAUGGCAUUGCUGUGCCUGUGAGGUCUGUACGUGUCAGUUGAUGCCCAGGGUAAAUCUGUGCCCAUGUGUUAAAGCAGCAUUGGACUGACAGACCCAUCCCUUCAUUUUGCUUGUGCUCCCUGCUGGAGUGUUUUCACUAGGAAAGCUCUCAUUCUCAGCCCUGUGUUAGACAGGGGCAGAUGGGCUCAUAGUUGCAGCUCUGACUGGGUUAAAGGAUGGCCUUGGGCAGCAGCAGGAAUUCUGAAAGCCCCUGCAGGCUGCAUCUCCUGGCACAGAAUCCCUUCGCCCUUGGCCCUCCUAGGCUGCAGUGCAGGAGGCAGCCAGCAUUGCCCGGAUGGUAGUUUUAACUCUUUGUUACCUAAAAUUCAGACAGUGUCAAAGCAACACAGCAGUAAACAAACCACUGGCCUCUUUCUACAGUCACGUCCCUUGUGUUGCCCCUGCUACUAGUGUUAAUAAUGUUGUGUGCAAUUUCCCAAGCAUAGACUGGGAAUUGGGGAGUGUAAAGUGUGCCUCAAGGGGCUGGUAGCAGCAGUGAGUGUUUGAGGCUGGAUAAUACCCACUGGUGCUGCAUGAACUUACUGUCAGAUAACUCUGUGUAGAUAGUGUUUAGCCUUGGUCAACAGUAUGACUGUAAACUGAAGCAAAUAACUCUGUCCUGAUUACAUUUUCUAGAGGGGAUGAUGCAGAAGGAAAUUGAAUUAAAAAUUAGCUUUGAAAUGAGCUCAAAGCUUUUUACCAACCACUUCGAACUUUAAAAUAUCUGACAUGAACAAAGUAACUUUUUUGAAGUAAUAGUAAACUGCCAUCUGCUGGUAAAACAGUAAUGCACAUAAUGAACAUACAGACUUAUGAAGUGAUAAUUAUUUUGUAUUUGACAUGCGACAGUCAAAUAUAUACAUGACAGGGAAGCUGCAUAUAUUUAUUUUACUGGUGUUUUUUAUUUCCAUUUGCAUUUUCAUAUAGAAUAUGCUAAACAGAUGCCUAUAACAUAACUAACUUUAAUGACAAGCGCAGAAAACCAGACAAUGAGAAUAAAGAAUGAGGACUAAUAAAAGCA
rnacentral:lncRNA from 1 species